rnacentral:rRNA from 1 species
GACGAACCGUGCGAACGUUGUUCGGAAUCACUGGGCUUAAAGGGCUCGUAGGCGGCCAACUAAGUCAGACGUGAAAUCCCUCGGCUUAACCGGGGAACUGCGUCUGAUACUGGAUGGCUUGAGUUUGGGAGAGGGAUGCGGAAUUCCAGGUGUAGCGGUGAAAUGCGUAGAUAUCUGGAGGAACACCGGUGGCGAAGGCGGCAUCCUGGACCAUUACUGACACUGAAAAGCGAAAGCCAGGGGAGCAAACGGG